rnacentral:rRNA from 1 species
CCUACGGGCGGCAGCAGUAGGGAAUCUUCCACAAUGGGCGCAAGCCUGAUGGAGCAAAACCGCGUGAGUGAAGACAGGUUUCGGCUCUUAAAGCUCUGUUGUUGGAGAAGAACGUGCGUGAGAGUAACUGUUCACGCAGUGACGGUAUCAAUCCAGAAAGUCACGGCUAACUACGUGCCAGCAGCCGCGGUAAUACGGAGGAGGCUAGCGUUAUCCGGAUUUAUUGGGCGUAAAGCGAGCGCAGGCGGUUGCUCAGGUCUGAUGUGAAAGCCUUCGGCUUAACCGAAGAAGUGCAUCGGAAACCGGGCGACUUGAGUGCAGAAGAGGACAGUGGAACUCCAUGUGUAGCGGUGGAAUGCUUAGAUAUAGGGAAGAACACCAGUGGCGAAGGCAGCUGUCUGGUCUGCAACUGACGCUGAGGCUCGAAAGCAUGGGUAGCGAACAGGAUUAGAUACCCGGGUAGUC